UACGAAGGGUGCAAACGUUGCUCGGAAUCAUUGGGCGUAAAGCGCACGUAGGCGGCUUCGCAAGUUGGAUGUGAAAUCCCUCGGCUCAACCGAGGACGUGCAUCCAAAACUGCGAGGCUUGAGUACUGAAGAGGAUCGCGGAAUUCCCGGUGUAGAGGUGAAAUUCGUAGAUAUCGGGAGGAACACCAGUGGCGAAGGCGGCGAUCUGGGCAGAUACUGACGCUGAGGUGCGAAAGCGUGGGGAGCAAACAGG
rnacentral:rRNA from 1 species